CAGUGAGACUCCGUUGGAGAAAAUUAACUUUUCCUCUGUGAGCAGAUACUGGCGAUAGUGUCUGGAACCAAACUACACAAGAACAGCCCAUGCCCUGAACGACUGACCUGCUUCUCCAGACCGUUUUGCUCAUUUUCAUAAAGGACAUCUAAAAACACUAGUGAGAGCCACCUGAACCUUUGUGAUUGCCAACUUGGCCAUUGUGAGAUUUGUCUUUUCACCACUGCUGAGCACAUCAUUUUACCUUCUCCAAAUUGACCAUAUCGUCAGACAUAAAGGAAGCCUCAACCAACACAACAACAUCGAAUGAAUCCCAUGCUUUACAUCUGACACUGUGGAUGAAGACUGGUCUUCAAUAUCAACAAAACUAAGAGGCAGCCCACAUACACAUGGAAACUGAACAACGCUCUACUCGGUGAUAUCUUGGUCAAGGAAAAAUAAAGAAAUUAAAGCCCUUUUGGAAUUUAUGAAAACUGAAGAGACAACAUAUCCAAACUUAUGGGACACAAUGAAAGCAGUGCUUAAAAGGAAAAUUCAUAGCUCUGUGUGCCUCAAUAAAAAAAUUGGCGAGAUCAUACACUGGCAGCAUUACAACACAUCUGAGAUCUUUACAACAAAAAGAAGCAAAUACAUCCAAGAGGAAUAGACAGGAGGAAGAAAUCAAACUCAGGGCUGAAAUCAACCAAGCAGAAACAAAAAGAACUAUAGAAAGCAUCAACAAAACAAGGAGUUGGUUCUUUGAGAAAACUCAACAAGAGAUAAAUCCUUAACCUAACUAAGUACAGGGAACACAGGCAGUAUCUAAAUUACAAAAAUCAAAAGUGGAAAAUCCCAUUGGGGAGAGGGCUGGUCUCUUAGUGUAGCCUGAGCUUUUCCUCAGGAGCUUUUCAGUUCAAAACCACAUCCUGGGUUGACACACUGUAGUGAGGAAAACAGCCAGAAGCCAAAGGACAGAAGCCCAAGAGCAAGUAUAUAAUGGUUAAUGAAGAGACACCUGGAACUUACUGUUUCUGCCUGGCCUUGAAAUUGGGGACCUCCACGGCUGUAUCUCCUAGGAUUAAAGGUGUGCAUCAA
ensembl:lncRNA